AACGAACGCUGGCGGCGCGCCUAAUACAUGCAAGUCGAGCGAGAAGACGUAGCAAUACGUUUGUAAAGCGGCGAACGGGUGAGGAAUACAUGGGUAACCUACCCUCGAGUGGGGAAUAACUAGCCGAAAGGUUAGCUAAUACCGCGUACGCUCCUUGGACUUCGGUUCAGGGAGGAAAGCGAUACCGUGGGUAUCGCGCUCUUGGAUGGGCUCAUGUCCUAUCAGCUUGUUGGUGAGGAACGGCUCACCAAGGCUUCGACGGGUAGCUGGUCUGAGAGGACGAUCAGCCACACUGGCACUGCGACACGGGCCAGACUCCUACGGGAGGCAGCAGUAAGGAAUAUUGCGCAAUGGGCGAAAGCCUGACGCAGCGACGCCGCGUGGGGGAUGAAGGUCUUCGGAUUGUAAACCCCUUUCGGGAGGGAAGAUGGAAUGGGUAACCCGAUUCGGACGGUACCUCCAGAAGCAGCCACGGCUAACUUCGUGCCAGCCGCCGCCGUAA
rnacentral:rRNA from 1 species